rnacentral:rRNA from 1 species
GAUGAACGCUGGCGGCGUGCUUAACACAUGCAAGUCGAACGGAAAGGCCCAAGCUUGCUUGGGUACUCGAGUGGCGAACGGGUGAGUAACACGUGGGUGAUCUGCCCUGCACUUCGGGAUAAGCCUGGGAAACUGGGUCUAAUACCGGAUAGGACCACAUUUUGGAUGGUGUGGUGGAAAGUUUUUCGGUGUGGGGUGAGCUCGCGGCCUAUCAGCUUGUUGGUGGGGUAAUGGCCUACCAAGGCGUCGACGGGUAGCCGGCCUGAGAGGGUGUACGGCCACAUUGGGACUGAGAUACGGCCCAGACUCCUACGGGGGGCAGCAGUGGGGAAUAUUGCACAAUGGGCGCAAGCCUGAGGCAGCGACGCCGCGUGGGGGAUGACGGCCUUCGGGUUGUAAACUCCUUUCGCUAGGGACGAAGCGUUUUUGUGACGGUACCUGGAGAAGAAGCACCGGCUAACUACGUG